rnacentral:rRNA from 1 species
CAGUAGCCGCGGGAAUACAGAGGGUGCAAGCGUUAAUCGGAAUUACUGGGCGUAAAGCGCGCGUAGGUGGUUCGCCAAGUUGGAUGUGAAAUCCCCGGGCUCAACCUGGGAACUGCAUCCAAAACUGGCGAGCUAGAGUAUGGUAGAGGGUGGUGGAAUUUCCUGUGUAGCGGUGAAAUGCGUAGAUAUAGGAAGGAACAUCAGUGGCGAAGGCGACCACCUGGACUGAUACUGACACUGAGGUGCGAAAGCGUGGGGAGCAAACAGGAUUAGAUACCCGGGUAGUCCCUGUCUCUUAUAU